rnacentral:lncRNA from 10 species
CCAGGUGUGGUGGUGGGCGCCUCUAAUCCCAGCUACACGGGAGGCUGAGGCAGGAGAAUCGCUUGAACCUGGGAGGCGGAGUUUGCAGUGAGCGGAGGUUGCAGUGAGCGGAGAUUGCGCCACUGCUCUUCAGCCUGGGUGACAAGAGCGAAACUCCAUCUCCAAAAAAAAAAAAAAGAAGAAGGAAGGAAAGAAAGAAGGUUGGGGCGAGUGAGUGAGCGAGCUAGCGAGUGAGGUGAGUGAGCGAGCGAGGUGAGUGAAGUGAGUGAGUGAGGUGAGGUGAGUGAGCAAGAGAGUGAGGUGAGUGAGCGAGGUGAGUGAGGUGAGUGAGCGAGAUGAGUGAGCGAGGUGAGUGAGCGAGGUGAGUGAGUGAGGUGAGGUGAGUGAGGUGAGUGAGGUGAGUGAAUGAGGUGAGUGAGCGAGGUGAGCGAGGUGAGUGAAUGAGGUAGGUGAGUGAAUGAGAUGAGUGAGGUGAGUGAAUGAGAUGAGUGAGGUGAGUGAGUGAGGUGAGCGAGGUGAGCCAGGUGAGUGAGCGAGGUGAGUGAGUGAGGUAAGUGAGUGAGGGGGGUAUGGGAAGGAAGGGAACGGAGCAACAUUUUCAAAGUUUACUGUGAAGCAAGAAACAAAAAGUGGCAAAGUGAGCAUCUUCACGUAAAUCUACAUGGAAACAUGAACAUCUGUCAUAGCCAGGAUAAAUUUAACAUGCAGAGAAAUAUACACGCUAGGAUGUUAAAGGCAGCAGGAUCCACAGUGUGAUUAGAACCAUGUUAAAACCAAACACAAAUCGAUGUAGGAAAAAUGAUCUGAAGGAAAUAUUUCCAAAGUGUUAGCCGUGGUGGUCUUUGGGAGGUUUUGAGGAAUUUUCUUCUUCUUUUGAUGUAACAGAAAGAAGGAGCAGACUUAUUUAAAAGAGAAACCUCACUGCAGUAAGAUCCCCGCUUUCACAGACCACUCUCAGCAAGGCAGCUGAACCAUUCCAAGAGCCUAUUUGUCUUGUUCCUUCUCCAUUCCAGCUUUUCUCACUUUGUACCAGGUUCCUUCAUUCCUGAUGGGUGUCUUUACCUUCUAGUACCUUCCUGUCCACUCGUCAGAGGGCUGCUGGACUCAUCCACCUCAAUUAACGACCACUUCCCACUCUCUCCCACCCUCACCUGGUUCAUCCACCUCCUGAAUCGCUCCGGCAUCCUCCCUGCCACUCCCCAGGCUGGAGUCCACGUCUGGUCCACAUCUCUUCCCCGCCUCUCGCCCUCAGAAGGUACAAACCCUCCCAUUGUGUACACUGACUUUCACACUUGACUCCCUCCUCUUCCCUCCCUGUGUUCCACAAAACCAGGUGUCCUGCCCUUCUCCUAAGCUGCAACAACUUGCUCUGAAUAUUUUUACCACAGCCCUUAUCACGUUAAACCAAAAAUAUCUGUUUCUUAUGUGUCAUAUUCCCCCAGUUAGAUACUCUCUAAAGACAGAGACCGUGUCUUAACACGGUCGAACCCCCAGUCCCUAACACAAUCCCUGGCACAGACUGAAUUCUCCAUCAACACCGUCUCACUGAAUCUGGUUUCUUUGCCAAAAACUUUCCAUGGUUCUUCUCUGAAGACCGUCCAAACCUUCAGCCUGACUUUCAGAAACAUAGAAAGGCUGGUUUAAACCUAGCUUUGCCACCUUAAUGGCCAAUGAAUGGCACCCGCCCCCAAAAUGGGCUCUGCCAUAGUGAGUGUUCACCUCUCUGGAGCACACCUCACGCGUGUCCUCCCACUCCUUUUUUAUCACCAUGGCCAAAACACCCUCUCAUCUUCGUGUUUCCUAAUUUCACUCUAGUUCUCCCUCAACUCCCAGCUCCAGUGCCAUCUCCUCUCGAAGUCCUUCCUUCCACCCCAAUCAGCUUCUGCAACCAUCCGUGAUCCUUUGCUACUUCUGGAACUUCUCAUGUGUGUAUAUCUCACUUUGCUAAUUCAAUGUAGGUAAGCCCCCCUCCCUGUCCUGCUGCACAUGCACUUGGACCUAGGAGCUCCCCAGUAAGAGCUGCUGACUGGCUGAUGUAGGUCAUGUGCUGCCGUGGAGGUGACUGUGCUGGGUGUGCCAGUUUUGGUUACCGGGCUGUGGAUGCGUGUCUCACACAGGCCGCACCUUGAAGGGAGGGCCCCUGAACCUAAGCAGGAGAGGUUCAGUCAUCCCAGUCCUCCCCCAGCUGCUCUGCCUCUGCUUCCUGAUCGCCUGCCACAGGGCACUGGGUGGACUGCCAGAAAGACCCUGCCACAGCUCGCCCAGGAACCAGGACAGACCCCGGUGGACGAAGGGCCCCGCACCUUGCAGCCAGCGUCCUGGUGCUCAGAACAAUCCAGGCAUCUUACAGAACACCAUGGUUUGCUCAAUCUGUAGGCAAAUAGUUACUGUCCAUGGGAAAGUAUUAGGAACCAGAAAAUCAUGUUUGUUUUCCUUCUCAUUAUAAACUUUCAAUGGCUCCCCUCUGAAUACCAUCUAAAGCAGGGCUGUGGCUGCAGCCAACACUGAAGACUGCACGGCACCUGAGGAGACCAACAUCUUGUCUUUCAGA